rnacentral:miRNA from 1 species
CUCUGUCUUGAUCCUCUCCAG